rnacentral:tRNA from 1 species
GGGGCCGUGGUUCAGUUGGGAGAACGCCUGCUUUGCAAGCAGGAGGUCAGCGGUUCAAAUCCGCUCGGCUCCA